CGCACGGGUGAGUAACACGUAUCCAACCUGCCGUCUACUCUUGGACAGCCUUCUGAAAGGAAGAUUAAUACAAGAUGGCAUCAUGAGUUCACAUGUUCACAUGAUUAAAGGUAUUCCGGUAGACGAUGGGGAUGCGUUCCAUUAGAUAGUAGGCGGGGUAACGGCCACCUAGUCUUCGAUGGAUAGGGGUUCUGAGAGGAAGGUCCCCCACAUUGGAACUGAGACACGGUCCAA
rnacentral:rRNA from 1 species